rnacentral:lncRNA from 1 species
GAGCUUUUCAUCUCUAAAUCUUUAUGCAGGUUGUUUCUCAAACCCAUUGAACAUAAUGAUCGGACGUCAUCUCCCAAUUUUGAAUUCCCUGUAUUCGAAGCGGACGAAGAUGAUGUUGAAGGGAUUCCUGACGAGAUUUCCCGACUUCUUGAGCAAGAAAAGAAGAUCACUCAGCUGCAUCUCGAGAAUCAGCAGAACAGCCAACUGGGGCAUUAUAAAAAAA